UGAAGAAGGACCGUUCUGGGAGUUUGCUCACACCUCUAUUCCGCCACUUGGAGCUUGAUCUCAGCCCCUACCAGUGUAACGAAACCACGCAGUUCAUUCAUGUUCCAUACCUGAUCAACUGCCAGAUUCUCCGCGACGAGACGACCUACAGUCUGAAAAGUCUGAAAAGGAGAAGGGUAAACGUAAUCUCUAUGUGGGAUUCAAGCCUUGAAUUACCGCAAGGAUCAUAUGGAGAUCUUAUCACCUAUCAAAGAUGGUAUUGUUUCUGAUUGGGAUUUGGAGACUGACGGAAGAAGAAGCGGAGUGGUGUUGGAGAUGGCUGAGGAAGAAGACGCGACGGCAAAAAGAAGCUGAGAUCCUUGAAAUAGGAAAAAGAAGAAUGAUAGUUGCAGAUCCUAAAGGUAAGAAUCAGUUCUCAUCACUUGCUUACACUCUAUUCACUGUCUUUUACGGUUAACUACUAGAGUUGAACAUAAAGGUCUGAACUUUGGAUGGAGAUACUCUCAAAAUGGGGUGAAUCUGGGAGGAAUCUCCAUUGCUGCCUAUUUGUUUCUCUCCAUAUCUCUCGUGUCUUACUAACUGAGAGAUUCAAGACUAGAUCUCUCCUGGGAGUGGCAGAAGAAUGAGAGUCACAGAUUCUCAUGAUUCUCUGCGAUGUGUAAUGAGUCUGACUUGAAACGUCUAUGUGCUGUGUAAUGAUCUGACUUCAAGAUAGUGAAGUGAUUCUCUAGUAAGACUUUUCUCGAGUGUUGGUACUAAAUGAAGCUGAGAAGCUCUCACGAGAAGCACACUUGCCAGUUCUUGACAGUUCCUCGGCAAGAUGGCGGAAUUUGCAGACAAAUGCACACACCAACGAAGUUUUAUGUAUUGCGGCAUGAUCUCAGCAGUGGUAGGAGGUAUAAUACCUAUAUCGCCUUAUACCACCGUAGAUGACAAAGCUCUAACUGCAGAAA